ensembl:lncRNA novel transcript
GAGUGGAGGCCGGGCUUGAAUGCAAUGAGGGGACAGAGAGGUUGACACAAUGUGCGGCUGGGCUGACUGGGGAACACGGGCUGGCCCUGCGGGGUUUGGGAAGAUAGAGGCUGGCAGAGGACUGGGGUAGAAAAGGAAGGAAGAAUGGAAGGAGGAAUAGCGGGAGACAGGACAGCCUCAGCGCAAACUUUCAUUUCCUUCCCACCAGAGGGCACUAGGAUCCCCCUCUCCCCACUGCAGUGCUGGCCUGUGAGUUGAACUUUCCACAAUUGCCCAAACCUCUCCUAUAUGACAAGGAGCCCUCAGCCAUUCUGGCCACAGCACCCAGUCCCUCUCCUUAGGAAGCAGAUGAUGCCACCAAGACCCUGAUAUGUGAGAUGACUUGCCCAAGGUCCCACAGCCAGUAAUUUGAAUGCAGGCAGUCAAACCAAGGAGGAAGCAGGGAGCAGCUGUGCCUGGAUGGGCGAGGGUGGAGGACUGCACAGGUCAGGGAGCUCGUUCUGGCUCCUGCCAGGGGAGUCGGGUGAGAGCAAAGGUCCAGAGACUGUGGGGUAGGGGUGGCCCCGCGUCCCAGUGGGGUGGGCUGUGGCUCCUCAUCAGGAGAGACUGGUUGUGGUCCUGAGCAUCCCUCGUUGCUGAGGGUAAUAAACCUGCCUCUUUACCCCCUCCAAA